rnacentral:lncRNA from 1 species
AGUGUAAUUAGAAUAAAGCAAUAAAAUCAAUCCCUUUUCACUCCACAAAUAUAAAGAUUAUCAUCCAAAAGGUCAGCCUGGCAUAUGACAAAUAUUGACAACAAGGAGUACAUAGCUUUCUGCAUGUCCUUUUGCAGUGUUCUUGGCACAUACAAUUGAGACUGGAUACAAUUUCACUCAGAAAAUGAUUCUUAGUAUGAAGAGAUUUACUAGGAUUUCUAUAUGAGGAGAUCAGAUGAAAUCAGAUGGUGUAAGCUCAUGCCUCUCAGACUGGUUUCAGCAGACUUUUACCUAUCCUUUACAACAGAAUUUGGACCACAAACAAGUUUUGAAAGAAGGGCUAAUACAACAUUCACAUCCUCGCCCUCUGCCCAGCACACCUGCACAGGAGCCUGAAAGAGCUUGCUUCAAGUCCUCACCAUGAAGGUUUAUUUCCAGCUCAAGUGCCUCCCAGCUCUUCAGAGUGAAGCAGAGCUAGAUUUCACAUCCUCUCACAGCACAGGGUCCAUGCUGAUGACAGCUUCAAGCGACCAGAAGGGUCUUGACUCAUCAAUGUCUACGAAGAGAAGUGAAAAGCAGAGGCUAGCGUCUGGGCGUCAGACAAAAGAGACAUCUGGUCCUGCUUUAAAGGCACAAGACCAUCUGAAAUAUUUAAGCUUCUUGCAAUUGCUUUGUGAGUUUGAACUUCAAAAUAAAUGUUCAAAUGGAAAAAA